GAUGAACGCUGACAGAAUGCUUAACACAUGCAAGUCAACUUGAACUUCGGUUUGGGUGGCGGACGGGUGAGUAACGCGUAAAGAACUUGCCUCACAGAUAGGGACAACAUUUGGAAACGAAUGCUAAUACCUGAUAUUAUGAUUUUAGGGCAUCCUAGGAUUAUGAAAGCUAUAUGCGCUGUGAGAGAGCUUUGCGUCCCAUUAGCUAGUUGGAGAGGUAACGGCUCACCAAGGCGAUGAUGGGUAGCCGGCCUGAGAGGGUGAUCGGCCACAAGGGGACUGAGACACGGCCCUUACUCCUACGGGAGGCAGCAGUGGGGAAUAUUGGACAAUGGACCAAGAGUCUGAUCCAGCAAUUCUGUGUGCACGAUGAAGUUUUUCGGAAUGUAAAGUGCUUUCAAUUGGGAAGAAAAAAAUGACGGUACCAACAGAAGAAGUGACGGCUAAAUACGUG
rnacentral:rRNA from 1 species